rnacentral:rRNA from 2 species
UUAAGCGACUAAGCGUACACGGUGGAUGCCCUGGCAGUCAGAGGCGAUGAAGGACGUGCUAAUCUGCGAAAAGCGUCGGUAAGGUGAUAUGAACCGUUAUAACCGGCGAUGUCCGAAUGGGGAAACCCAGUGCAAUUCGUUGCACUAUCGUUAACUGAAUACAUAGGUUAACGAGGCGAACCGGGGGAACUGAAACAUCUAAGUACCCCGAGGAAAAGAAAUCAACCGAGAUUCCCCCAGUAGCGGCGAGCGAACGGGGAGCAGCCCAGAGUCUGAAUCAGCUUGUGUGUUAGUGGAACGGUCUGGAAAGUCCGACGGUACAGGGUGAUAGUCCCGUACACCAAAAUGCACAGGUUGUGAACUCGAAGAGUAGGGCGGGACACGUGGUAUCCUGUCUGAAUAUGGGGGGACCAUCCUCCAAGGCUAAAUACUCCUGACUGACCGAUAGUGAACCAGUACCGUGAGGGAAAGGCGAAAAGAACCCCGGCGAGGGGAGUGAAAAAGAACCUGAAACCGUGUACGUACAAGCAGUGGGAGCACCUUCGGGUGUGACUGCGUACCUUUUGUAUAAUGGGUCAGCGACUUAUAUUCUGUAGCAAGGUUAACCGUAUAGGGGAGCCGCAGGGAAACCGAGUCUUAACUGGGCGUUAAGUUGCAGGGUAUAGACCCGAAACCCGGUGAUCUAGCCAUGGGCAGGUUGAAGGUUGGGUAACACUAACUGGAGGACCGAACCGACUAAUGUUGAAAAAUUAGCGGAUGACUUGUGGCUGGGGGUGAAAGGCCAAUCAAACCGGGAGAUAGCUGGUUCUCCCCGAAAGCUAUUUAGGUAGCGCCUCGUGAAUUCAUCUUCGGGGGUAGAGCACUGUUUCGGCUAGGGGGUCAUCCCGACUUACCAACCCGAUGCAAACUACGAAUACCGAAGAAUGUUAUCACGGGAGACACACGGCGGGUGCUAACGUCCGUCGUGAAGAGGGAAACAACCCAGACCGCCAGCUAAGGUCCCAAAGUCAUGGUUAAGUGGGAAACGAUGUGGGAAGGCACAGACAGCCAGGAUGUUGGCUUAGAAGCAGCCAUCAUUUAAAGAAAGCGUAAUAGCUCACUGGUCGAGUCGGCCUGCGCGGAAGAUGUAACGGGGCUAAACCAUGCACCGAAGCUGCGGCAGCGACACUAUGUGUUGUUGGGUAGGGGAGCGUUCUGUAAGCCUGCGAAGGUGUGCUGUGAGGCAUGCUGGAGGUAUCAGAAGUGCGAAUGCUGACAUAAGUAACGAUAAAGCGGGUGAAAAGCCCGCUCGCCGGAAGACCAAGGGUUCCUGUCCAACGUUAAUCGGGGCAGGGUGAGUCGACCCCUAAGGCGAGGCCGAAAGGCGUAGUCGAUGGGAAACAGGUUAAUAUUCCUGUACUUGGUGUUACUGCGAAGGGGGGACGGAGAAGGCUAUGUUAGCCGGGCGACGGUUGUCCCGGUUUAAGCAUGUAGGCUGAUUGUCCAGGCAAAUCCGGAUAAUCAAGGCUGAGGUGUGAUGACGAGGCACUACGGUGCUGAAGUAACAAAUGCCCUGCUUCCAGGAAAAGCCUCUAAGCAUCAGGUAACAUCAAAUCGUACCCCAAACCGACACAGGUGGUCAGGUAGAGAAUACCAAGGCGCUUGAGAGAACUCGGGUGAAGGAACUAGGCAAAAUGGUGCCGUAACUUCGGGAGAAGGCACGCUGGUGUGUAGGUGAAGUCCCUGCGGAUGGAGCUGAGACCAGUCGAAGAUACCAGCUGGCUGCAACUGUUUAUUAAAAACACAGCACUGUGCAAACACGAAAGUGGACGUAUACGGUGUGACGCCUGCCCGGUGCCGGAAGGUUAAUUGAUGGGGUUAUCCGUAAGGAGAAGCUCUUGAUCGAAGCCCCGGUAAACGGCGGCCGUAACUAUAACGGUCCUAAGGUAGCGAAAUUCCUUGUCGGGUAAGUUCCGACCUGCACGAAUGGCGUAAUGAUGGCCAGGCUGUCUCCACCCGAGACUCAGUGAAAUUGAACUCGCUGUGAAGAUGCAGUGUACCCGCGGCAAGACGGAAAGACCCCGUGAACCUUUACUAUAGCUUGACACUGAACAUUGAGCCUUGAUGUGUAGGAUAGGUGGGAGGCUUUGAAGCGUGGACGCCAGUCUGCGUGGAGCCAACCUUGAAAUACCACCCUUUAAUGUUUGAUGUUCUAACGUUGGCCCCUGACCGGGGUUGCGGACAGUGUCUGGUGGGUAGUUUGACUGGGGCGGUCUCCUCCCAAAGCGUAACGGAGGAGCACGAAGGUUAGCUAAUCCUGGUCGGACAUCAGGAGGUUAGUGCAAUGGCAUAAGCUAGCUUGACUGCGAGCGUGACGGCGCGAGCAGGUGCGAAAGCAGGUCAUAGUGAUCCGGUGGUUCUGAAUGGAAGGGCCAUCGCUCAACGGAUAAAAGGUACUCCGGGGAUAACAGGCUGAUACCGCCCAAGAGUUCAUAUCGACGGCGGUGUUUGGCACCUCGAUGUCGGCUCAUCACAUCCUGGGGCUGAAGUAGGUCCCAAGGGUAUGGCUGUUCGCCAUUUAAAGUGGUACGCGAGCUGGGUUUAGAACGUCGUGAGACAGUUCGGUCCCUAUCUGCCGUGGGCGCUGGAGAAUUGAGGGGGGCUGCUCCUAGUACGAGAGGACCGGAGUGGACGCAUCACUGGUGUUCGGGUUGUCAUGCCAAUGGCACUGCCCGGUAGCUAAAUGCGGAAGAGAUAAGUGCUGAAAGCAUCUAAGCACGAAACUUGCCCCGAGAUGAGUUCUCCCUGAGACUUUAAGUCUCCUGAAGGAACGUUAAAGACGAUGACGUUGAUAGGCCGGGUGUGUAAGCGCAGCGAUGCGUUGAGCUAACCGGUACUAAUGAACCGUGAGGCUUAACCUU